CCGCAGGGCUCCGGGCACAGCAGGGGCUGCAAAGGCCACAAGUGCCGGGGCUGCCCCGGGCCGGGUCCAGGCGGUCCCGCUGUCCAUGGGGGGCCGGGGGUGGCCCUUUGUGACAUGGGGGCACCUUCCAGGGCCCUUUGUGACGUGGGACAUGGGUGUGCCCAGAGACCUUUGUGACAUCACAGAGCCAUGCCCUGCCCGAGGAGAAGGGGAACCCCAACUCCCAGCCUGCCCAGGGCCAACUGCUGAGCCUGCAGAGGACUCCAGGUGUGAAGGACAGGGCAAGAAGGAGAAGCCAGUGGUGGGACAGUGCCACAUGGAGCUGCAUCGGAGUCACAGCUCGGCUUGCUGCUGUGUCAAGGUGGCCUCUGCCAUCCCAUGCCACCUCCUCCUCAUUCUCCUCCUCCUCUCCAGAGAGUGACCUCAAGCUGCCACAAGCUGACAUCAGGCAGCUGAAAGGCCCCCAGGACACUGGACUUCCCAUCAGCCAGACCAACACAGCUGUAUCAUCGCUGGAACCAUCAGCCAGAUCGAGGCUCAAACGAGGACUAAUGGACUUUUUUUCUCUCUGUUUUUCUCUCUGUUUUUCUUUCCUUUUUUCUUUCCUUCCUUCUGAGCUGCCUUCCUACCCUCCUUCCUACCUUUCGUUCCUUUCUUCCCUCCCUCUUCCCCCUUCCUUCCUUCAUUUCUUCCUCUCUUUCUUUCUUUCUUUCUUCCUUUCUUCCUUCUUUUCUUCCUUCCUUAAUUCCUUCCUGCCUUCGGCUGACAAAGAGCUGUCCCAAAGGAAACAUGACUUUAGCUACAACCUCAGGGACGAGCCCUCAGGCCCGAUGAAUGACAAGCACCCUCAGGAGGGGCCCAGCUGUCCCAGGAACACUCCUGCCCCUGUGAAUCCCACGGUCUACGAGCUGGUCCCUGCCAGGCACAGCCCCUGCUGCCUCCCCAGUCCCUCACCUAGCAGGAUGGAAGCCCAGACCAUCAGUGGGCAGCAGCUGUGGGCAGCAGCUGUAAGCUCCUGCAGGACCCUGACGCUGCUCUCCAGGAGUGGGCACAGGCAGCAGCUUCUCCUGGCCCUGGAAACCAGGUGGCAGAGAGGCAGCUCAACAGGACACGUCCCUCCCGCUUCAGGCGGAUGCUCCGGGCUCUGCGCCGGCUGUUCCGGUGGUUUUCAUGAUGGGAUGGCCAGAGGACUAGUGCCUGCUCCAGUGCCAGGUCGGGCCUGGACAUGUUGGAACCAGGACUGACUGACUGACUGACUUCAUUCCCUCCUUCCUUCACUUCCUCAUUCCCUUUCCUCCUUCUUUUUCUUACUUUCUUGCCUUCCUUCUAUCUUUCCUUCUUUCUUGCUUUCUUGCUCUCGUGCCCUUUAAUUGCUGCCUUUCUUUUCCUCUUCCCUUUCUCCCUACCUCUUUCCCCAAAUCCACUGCCAUCUGCUUACAUAGCAGGUCAAGGACUAUAUACCAAUUUCCAUGCCAAGCGUGGAAUUUACUGAUAAAACUUUCUGGCCUUGAAA